UAUCAACGCUAUACAACUCGUUACAAUCUAUUCCUUUUCUUUGUAGUAUGUUUAUUUCAUAUUCUGUCAGAACGAUACAUGCAUUUCUAAAUUAUUUUGGAUUGUAAAAUGUGCCCAGUUAGGCUAACAGUUAGCCUACAUGUGUAUCAAACCUUCAACCACAAAACACCAAAGUGAUGAUCAUCAUGAAAUAACAAAUCAGUUACUGAGUUAUCAAAAUAUCUUGUUGUUCUUGAACACACAUACACAACAGUAACAUAUUAUAGUAUUUUCAUUACAUUAGAAGACUAGUAUUAUUCACUUUUUCAUAUUGUACUACACCAACAGGUACUCAUCACUGACAUCAUUUAAAGAUUUUUGGCCAAAGGAAACAUCUAUUCCAAGCUGGCAGAUCUUCAUGGAAUCAGCAGAUCAUCUUUCAUUAUUUGACACGCCUUCACGAGUUCAAUCAGCAAACAUAUGAUCAGUUUCCAGUCUGUGUACACCAACAAACUUGCAUGAAGGUUGGAUUCUGCCACAAGGCCCGGGAGCAGUGGAUGGGACUCUCAUACCCAUAAUACUGAAUACGUUAUAUUACACACAUGCAGUUGAACACAGCAGGAACUCUUGAAGAAAAAAAUGUGUAUUUUUUUUAUUCGAACUUAAAUGUAAAAUAUAUAUUUAAUUUCAGCUCGACUAUACCUUGAUUGAUAAGCUGUGUAUAAAAUUAUGGUAAACAUGCAACAUCCUUAUAUCACUGUUUCUAUUACAUAUUUUCAUUAAAAGCACUUAUGUAUUCAGGGUCAUUAUGUCAUUGUGAGGUCACUGACCAAGUUGCUUAUCUCUGACCUGCAUUUAGCUUAAUAAUGCCCCUUUUGUACUUAAAAUGUUCCACUUAAAUUGUGUGUACAGCUACUCCAUAUCCCUAUAUUUUCCACAGAUAAUCCUUCACAUAUGUAGUCAUUUUUUUUUUAAAUCAUAUAAAUAAUAUUUCUUUGGGUCAUUGUUAUAACCACUACAAAUAUUUACUGUUGUUGCGAAUAAAGUUGUUAAAACUGUUUAAA